rnacentral:rRNA from 1 species
CGGACGGGUGAGUAACGCGUGGAGAACCUGCCGUAUAACUGGGGGAGUAACACUUAGAAAUAGGUGCUAAUACCGCAUAAGCGCACAGCUUCGCAUGAAGCAGUGUGAAAAACUCCGGUGGUAUACGAUGGAUCCGCGUCUGAUUAGCUUGUUGGCGGGGUAAAGGCCACCAAGGCGACGAUCAGUAGCCGGCCUGAGAGGGUGAACGGCCACAUUGGGACUGAGACACGGCCCAAACUCCUACGGAAGGCAGCAG